rnacentral:piRNA from 1 species
UUCCUGCCUGUGCCUGAGCAGCCUGU